ACAGAAACCACACAUGUUGGAACAGAACUAUGCAGAUAUAUACCAUAUAUUCCCCGAGCAAUUGCUACUCGUCUAACGCUUCUUUAACCCACAAAACUAAAAGAAAAGUGCAGAUAAAAGAUGGCAGCAACGUCAGAGCGGGCAGCGGAUCAACCAUGAACCAUAGAUAUGUCACUUAGAUUGUACUAUAUAUUCUUUAUAAAUAUAAAUACUAUAUUGUAUGCUGCUAUGCUAUUCCACUGAACCGCAACCGCAACUGUGGCAACACACUCAGCACAAUGGCCAGCCCAGCCCACAAUCAGGAGAGAGCUGUACUUAGUUAAGUGAGGAUCUGAUCGGAUCGGAUCGGAUAGAGGUAGACCUGUCGCAGCUCCUCCUCUUGCGCCAUUAUACUGGUGCAGAGAGGUGGGGUUCAGCUUCAUUUCAAUAGAUUUUAUAACUUGAUGCCUUGUAACAAUUCUAUAUAUUUUUUUUUUGUUUUUUAUAAUUUAUUUAGCUGUUGUUGUUGUUGUUGCUGUUGUUGCUGUUGUGCAGCGAAUCUGAUUGUCCAAACAUUGUUCGUAAUUGUAAAAAAAGAGAAAGAUGCAAAGAAUUGUGAACGGAAAACACAUACAAUAGACAAUAGACAAUAUACAAUAUACAAUAUAGAUGUAGAUUAUAUACCUAGAGCAUAUCCUAUCCUGUAAGUCAGAGCCCGCUUACAACAACAGAGCAGAGCAGAGCAACCAAUCAGCCAAUCAAGCAUUCAUCAAUCAAUCAAACAAUCAAUCAAGCUAAGUUCUAGCCCUUUUUACAAAGCUUUAACUUAUAUUCCAUUUAAAGAACACUCUUUUAAAACGUAUAUAUACUAGCAUAGACACUAUACUAUAUACUAUAUACUAUAUGUAGAUCAGAUAUGGAGGCGGAACCCUGAAGGAUGAACAAUCAGUUACUUAAAGCAAAUGCAACUUCCCAUACAUAUAUAUAUAUAUAUAUAUAUAUAUAGAGCUUGACAUGAAUCAAUCGAAACGAAACUAAGCUGAAAUGCAAAAACGAAUCGAAUCGAAUCAAAACGAAGCGAAAAAUUCGCCACAGACUUGUGUGUGUGUGUGUGUCUGUGUGUGUGUGUGUUUGUGUUUGUGUAAAAGGCUACAUCUAAGUAUUAAAUAUCCAAUAUGUUCUAGUUCUUAAGCUAAACAAAUUAUUUAUUUGUAUUUCUGUUCGAUGGCGCUGCAGCCUUCACUCUCAGCACUCUCCCCUCUCUCUCUCUCACUCCCCUCUGUCUCUCUCUGUCACUCGCUCACUCACUCACUCACUCAUUUUAUAUGGACUCUCCAAAUUUGAAAUUCCUUUAGAGCUCGACAUAUAGAGUUCCAUAUUGUCGCCUUAGUUUGUUGCGUGUGUGUGUGUGUUUUUUUUUGUGUGUGUUUUGUACAGAGUGAGAGGCGGCAGCGAAUUGCAUUUAAAAGUAAUGGAUGGGAUAGUGACCCACGAAAGUGGGUCCCCUCUGCAGAGGGUUGUGAGGGCUGUGGGCCCAUUCGACGAGACCCGACUGCUGAAAGCUGAAUGCCGACUGCUCUAUGCUCUCCAGUUGUAUUUUGCUUAGUCGAAAAUGAAGUCGAGCCAUUGCUUUCUUUUUAAAAAUUGUAUUUUAUUUGUACUAUUAUUGUCAUGAUCCAUUCGUAUUACGUUUAUUUACGUUAAUGUUUAUGUUUAAAUAUAUACUCUAGCUUAAGGCGCCUCUGCAGUUGCAUUUCCCCCGCAGAAUCGGCUCAGAAAUUUAACUGCAAACGCCACCCCCCCCCCCACCACCCGAAACCCAAACCCAACCCCAGACAAAAUAAAGUAAUAAUGUGUAUAAAAUCAA